ACUGGACAUGGUGGCAUAUGACUGUAUUCCCACCACUUGGGAAGCUGAGGCAGGAGGAUCACUUGAGUCCAGGAAUUUGAGACUAGCCUAGGCAACAAAGGGAGACUUCUUCUCAA
rnacentral:sRNA from 1 species